rnacentral:rRNA from 1 species
UGAGCAAUCUGCCCUUCACAUCGGAAUAACCAUUGGAAACGAUGGCUAAUACCGAAUAUGACUUCGGAUCGCAUGAUCUGAAGUGGAAAGCUCCGGCGGUGAAGGAUGAGCUCGCGGCCUGUCAGCUUGUUGGUGAGGUAAUAGCUCACCAAGGCGAUGACGGGUAGCCGGCCUGAGAGGGUGACCGGCCACACUGGGACUGAGACACCGGCACGACCCCG